rnacentral:tRNA from 1 species
AAAUUUAAAGGUAUAUUAUAUCAUUUUCUAAU